rnacentral:rRNA from 1 species
GCCGGCGACCGGCGCACGGGUGAAGUAACGCGUAUCCAACCUUCCGUACACUCAGGGAUAGCCUUUUCGAAAGAAAGAUUAAUACCUGAUGGUAUGAUGAGAUUGCAGUGAUAGCAUCAUUAAAGAUUUAUCGGUGUACGAUGGGGAUGCGUUCCAUUAGGUAGUAGGCGGGGUAACGGCCCACCUAGCCGACGAUGGAUAGGGGUUCUGAGAGGAAGGUCCCCCACAUUGGAACUGAGACACGGUCCAAACUCCUACGGGAGGCAGCAGUGAGGAAUAUUGGUCAAUGGACGAGAGUCUGAACCAGCCAAGUAGCGUGAAGGAUGAAGGUCCUACGGAUUGUAAACUUCUUUUAUAAGGGAAUAAACCCUCCCACGUGUGGGAGCUUGUAUGUACCUUAUGAAUAAGCAUCGGCUAACUCCGUG